AAGAGCUGUAUGUCGUGAAAAUGACACGUACAGUUCUUAGGCGAGAAGGAGGGAGUAAUCCCUCCAACUUAGCCGAC
rnacentral:ncRNA from 1 species